AUACAUAGUAAAAAUCAUCAAAGACCUUUCAAGAAGAACUUUUGCUUUUCUUUCUACCGUCCAGGUAUUUCUAAAAUCUCGAAGAAACGUGCCGAAAACCUGUGAACCUUUCAGACUUCGUUCUAGUUCUUCAGGCAGUAAUGAGCGGAGUAUUGGAGUAUCUGCAGCAAUAGAAACCAAAGCGGAUUUUUAAUAAUGUGAUGCCGGAGUAUGGUACUUCCUGGGACUGUCUCAUUUCAGUUUGGCACAACUUCCUGGGAUUAUUUGUCGGUUUGGCACAACUCCCUGUGUUUUUCGAUGCAUUAAGCAAAGCACGUAUGAAUAAACGUGAUGAAGAACUAAGUAUACGUCCACAGGAACUGCAAUUACAACAUUGACAUACGCAACUAAAUGAAGAAUUGAAUUUACGUUUAUCGUGCAAUAAACUGGAUAAAAGUUCAGCUGGUGUGGCGGCAGAAGGUGCUAUCCUUAAUGAAAUAUUAGAAAUCGUAGAGUUCAAAAUGCUGGCAGCGCAUUGUUGUUUUCAAUUGCAUGCUUGUAUGGUAUGCCAAAUGAAAUUUUUUAGCGUGGACGCCUUAACACAAACCCACGGUACUCUAAUAGUAAGUGUGCCAAGCAUCAAUUUGGAAAAAAAUCAAGACAAUACUUGCAAAACCAAAACUGAUAUCAAGUCUGCAGACCAGGAAAUUCAAAUAGUGCAACACCACGACGUUUUAUAACCACCUGAAUCAAUUUUGAGUAAUUGUGAUCCCGCUCCUACCAAAAAAGACAAUUUUGAACAGAAUGGCUCUGCAUUAUCAACAGUUGAGAAGGUUCUCCAAAAAGUUGCAAAAGAAAUCUGGAACAUAAUGUUGAGCAAUUGCAAUCACAGCCGACUAUAACAUCGCUCAAAAACUUUUCCAAAAUCGGAAAUGCUUCUUUACAAUCAACUAAAUGCAGCCAAGCGAGGAAUCUCAAUAAGAAGCAAUACCAGAAUGAGUUUCUUAAAAUUGAAUGUUUGGUGCGUUCGAAGAACUUUAGCAACGCGAACAGUUUACUUGCUUUGCUGAACUCAACCAGAAAAAUCGAAACUGAGAUAUCCUUUAUAGUAUAUGAACGUAGCAUUAUAUCCGCUACAGUAGUGAAAUCCGAAAAUAUUGUCAAUGGAACUUAAGCAGCAUUAGAGCCAGAUUUAUUAGAAAACAUGGAGGAAUUUUUACCAAUCGCAUCUAGGAAAAUUUAAAAAGGAAAAAUUAGAUAAUUCAUUCGACGCUAAGGGGACUCUCACUCUCUGGAAAUUUAAAGAACAAGAUUCAAGGAU